CUGUCAUAAAAACUUCACGAAUUUAUUCAAACAUAAAUUAAACAUUGAAGAACAGUAAUAUUUAUAAUGAAUAUGUUAUAUGGUGCAUAUAUUACGUAGAAUGCCUCUCUCUACAGUUUAUUUUUCUAUCUGACUUGAGUUUAUGGUCACGAAUAUGUUUUUCUGAGGUAAAUGUGACGUUACGUGGCAUUGUUUACAAGGCGUUAUAUUGAAGUCUUUGCGCGGCUGAAACACUGAUUGAGAGAUUACACGAGACGGGAUACGGAUUGUAAAGUUGUACUUUCUUUUAACUUACCUUCGGAUGUUUAGUCAAGUUUAUUUUGUGCUAUAACUAGUAAUAAAGCGGAGGAGAUGAUCAGUUCACUGAGGCGCUACAGCGAUCACUCCACAUUAAACAGCGCCAAAACUGCAUUUAUUGUUUGAAUACUGCAAUACAACAGACAGAAUUUGAAAUCGGAGACUGUUUCAUAUUAAAAGUACCAAAGCACAAAGCUUAGGUGCCCUUCAAUGUUCCGUCCAUUAAGGCGAGACAAAAACAUGAAUAACGUAACUGAAAACAGGCCAGACUAAUCGAUUCUUGGGAUUUAAGAAUCAAUAUCGUUUCGUAAAAAUGAGAAUCGAUUGAAAUCGCGAGAUCAGUAUUUUUUUACCCAGCCCUAUUGGUGUCUGUCUGUGUGUGUGUCUCUGUCUGUGUGUGUGUCUCUGUCUGUCUGUGUGUCUCUGUCUGUCUGUGUGUGUGUGUGUGUGAGAUGAACAUGUUCGGUUGGAGCCCUUAACAGCGCAGCACGUUCGAGGAUGUCCGGGACGCGGAGGACGCUCUGCUCAAUCUGGACCGGAAGUGGGUCUGUGGACGGCAGAUCGAGAUCCAGUUCGCUCAGGGAGACCGCAAGACGCCGGGCCAGAUGAAGACCAAAGAGCGGCAGUCGCCACGCAGCCACUCGCGAUACGAUGACUACGAUCGGCGCAGACGCUCACGCAGCCGCGACAGACGCAGGUCUCGCAGCCCGUCCUACGACAGGCGCCGCAGACGAUCCCAGAGCCCUAGAGAGUGAGCGAGUGAGCGUCUCAGCAUCUUCACUGCUGUGGAUCAGGACACUGACCUUGUGCUUCUCCCAGCAGGUCCAGAGGAGGAACACACCGCAGACGCAGCCGAGAACACGACAGGCCCAGGCCGUCUGCACGUGACCGUAGCCGAAGCCCCGCCCACUCCAAGAGAAGGGGCGGAGCUCAGUCGCGCUCCAGGUCCAAGUCCAGCAGCCCGCGGGAAACCAGCCAGCUCCACACAGAGAGUCCGGACGCCGCUGAGGAGAAGACGCAGACGCGCUCCCCGUCCCGCUCCAGAUCCCGCUCCAGAUCCCGCUCCUGGGCCGGACGCAAGUCCUGGGGGCAUUAGAGUCCAUGCAAACCUGUUUAGGUUUUGUCGUUUGCGUGAAUGUCUGCGAGUGACAGCCGUCUGUCUGUUUCUUUUAAUACGGAGGCAAUCAAAGCAUCGCCUGUUUUAGCACACGCAUCUGCUAGCGGCUGCAGUGUUAGCAUUGAUGAUGUCUGUGUGGUUUAGUUUACAAGCGCAGCUGCGCAGAAUGAGAGAUGAAAAUCACCUCAAUAUUUUUGUAAGAGAUUUUUGUUUUAGUUGAUCAGUAAUGGCCAUCCAUUUAAAACGGUCUUCCACGAGUGUCUCGGAUGUGUUUUAUUGUGAAAUCUGCAGGCCUUUUACAUGUAACCUCAGAAUGAAAUAAAUUUCUUGUGCAUCAGUAUGUUUUCCAGUUUAUCCUCAGAUCUGGAUUCCUAAUCAUUGUGAAGUAUAUGAAGCUGGUUUGGCACAAUGUGUGCUUGUGGGUUUGGUUUGGAGUAAUAAUUACAAAGGAAUCAUCGCAUGUUGUGACUUCAGCCUUCUGAUUGAGUUUCCAAAACUUAAAUUGAGUUCACCCUGAUCUUGCCAUUUACUCGCCCUCAUGUUUUUCCAAAUCUGUUCACUCUUUAUACUAAAGGUUCCAGAAGAGGGGUUUUCACAGUGAGGCCACGGCAGAAACGGGUUUAGUUCCUAAAGAACCUUUCAUUGCUCAGUUCAUAGAACAACCACUUUUUGUCUUGGUGUGAAGAAUAUUUUAAUAAAUCCAAAGAACCUUUCCCCACAAUAAAGAACUUUUAUUUGGAAAUUGAUGCCACAGAUUUGAGUGUCGCAGAAAAGAUUUUUUGAAAAAUGUUUGUUUUCCCAUAUAAAAAAAAAAAUCAUACCAUGUACUAUAUACAGUUGUAUACAACAUAUGAAAGUCAAAAUAUAAUCUUUUGUGUUGUAUGGAAGAAAGGCUUCUGCAGGUUUGGAACGGCAUGAUGGGGAUUAUAGUCUUGCUUCUCAUCUCUGUCCUGUGCUUUGAGGUGUUUUCUGCACGAGUGCUCUUUGAUGACACGUGUCAAAUAAACCUAGCCCUGACCCUGUGACCCUUCAGCAUUAGAUGAUCAUCAUCGUUAGUGUGUAAGAGCAGCUGCUGCCAAAUCAAUGAACCUGCUCGCACGCCACCGAAAUCCAUCCCACAAUCCACGGGACUCCUGAUUGGUCGAGAGCUGCCGAAGCACCGCCCCUGCGCUCUCUGGCCAUCGAUAGGUCAAUGACAGGUUUAAAAACAUCGACAGACACCGGCUUGAGGGAAAACCUUGAUUGGAUUCUGAGAGCAGUUCAUGUAUGAAAUCGGACAUGACGGA
rnacentral:lncRNA from 1 species